AUUGAACGCUGGCGGCAGGCCUAACACAUGCAAGUCGAACGGUAACAGGAAACAGCUUGCUGUUUCGCUGACGAGUGGCGGACGGGUGAGUAAUGUCUGGGAAACUGCCUGAUGGAGGGGGAUAACUACUGGAAACGGUAGCUAAUACCGCAUAACGUCGCAAGACCAAAGAGGGGGACCUUCGGGCCUCUUGCCAUCGGAUGUGCCCAGAUGGGAUUAGCUAGUAGGUGGGGUAACGGCUCACCUAGACGACGAUCCCUAGCUGGUCUGAGAGGAUGACCAGCCACACUGGAACUGAGACACGGUCCAGACUCCUACGGGAGGCAGCAGUGGGGAAUAUUGCACAAUGGGCGCAAGCCUGAUGCAGCCAUGCCGCGUGUAUGAAGAAGGCCUUCGGGUUGUAAAGUACUUUCAGCGGGGAGGAAGGGAGUAAAGUUAAUACCUUUACUCAUUGACGUUACCCGCAGAAGAAGCACCGGCUAACUCCGUG
rnacentral:rRNA from 1 species